rnacentral:rRNA from 1 species
GGUUAAGCUACAAAGAGCGCACGGUGGAUACCUUGGCGUUAGAAGCCGAUGAAGGACGCAAUAACCUGCGAAAAGCUGCGGGGAGACGUUAUAGUCUACGAUCCGCAGGUCUCCGAAUGGGGCAACCCUGCCAGAGUAAUGUCUGGUAACGCAUAUCUGAAUACAUAGGGUAUAGCGAGGUAAGCUCGGGAACUGAAACAUCUUAGUACCGAGAGGAAAAUAAAACAAAUGAGUGAUUCCCCUAGUAGCGGCGAGUGAACGGGGAACAGCCUAAACCUAUACGACGCAAGUCAUAUAGGGGUCGCGGGACACCAUCACGAGAUGGGAUGAGAAUAGUUGAAGGGCCCUGGAAAGGUCCACCAUAGACGGUGACAGUCCGGUAAACGACAUUCUCUGAACCUCAGGUGUAUCCCAAGUAAUGCGGGGCACGUGAAACCUUGCAUGAAUCAGCCGGGACCAUCCGGUAAGGCUAAAUACUUCUAACGACCGAUAGUGUACAAGUACCGCGAGGGAAAGGUGAAAAGAACCCCGGUGAGGGGAGUGAAAUAGAACAUGAAACCGUGUGCUUACAAGCAAUUGGAGCACCAUUUGAUGGUGUGACAGUGUGCCUGUUGAAGAAUGAGCCGGCGAGUUGCCGUGUGUAGUUGGUUAAGCAGUUAAUAUGCGAAGCCACAGGGAAACCGAGUCUGAUAAGGGCGUUGAUAAUUACAUGCGGCAGACCCGAACCCAGGUGAUCUAGGCAUGGCCAGGAUGAAGCGUGUGUAAAAAUGCGUAGAGGUCCGAACCGACUGAUGUUGAAAAAUCAGCGGAUGAGCUGUGUUUAGGGGUGAAAUGCCAAUCGAACUUGGAGCUAGCUGGUUCUCCCCGAAAGGCGUUGAGGCACCGCGUUGGACGUAGUUUAUGGGGGGUAGAGCACUAGUUCGGUGCGGGCGGAGAAAAUCCGUACCAAAUCGAGUUAAACUCCGAAUACCCAUAAUAUUUAUCCAGCAGUGAGACGGCGAGAGAUAAGUUCCGUCGUCAAGAGGGAAACAGCCCAGACUACCGACUAAGGUCCCAAAGUAUAUGCUGAGUGGUUAAGGAGGUGGAGUUGCAUAGACAACCAGGAUGUUGGCUUAGAAGCAGCCAUCAUUCAAAGAAAGCGUAAUAGCUCACUGGUCAAGCGACUCUGCGCCGAAAAUAUCCGGGACUAAGCAUAUCACCGAAAUCGUAGGCUUACGUAAGUAAGCGGUAGGGGAGCGUUGUGUUGUAGGUUGAAGCAUGAGCGUAAGCACGUGUCGACGAAGCACAAGUGAGACUGUCGGCUUAAGUAGCGAAAACAUUGGUGAGAAUCCAAUGCACCGAAAGACUAAGGGUUCCCACGGCAGGUUCGUCCACGUGGGGUUAGUCGGGGGCUAAGAUGAGGCCGAAAGGCGUAAUCGAUGCACAGCGGGUUAAUAUUCCCGUACCACCGUAGAUCGUUAUGAAUCAAGUCGGGACGCAGGAGGCUAAUUGAUGCGGCUAAAUGGAUUGCCGUCCAAAGGCGUAGCUAGUCAGAGUAGGCAAAUCCGCUCUGGCGUUUAAACGUGAGGCCGAGUAAGAAAUCACCCACGGGUGAAAUAUCAAUGAUGCCACGCUGCCGAGAAAAGCGGCGUGAUCAGAUCGAAGGUGCCCGUACCCGAAACCGACACAGGUAGUCAGGUAGAGAAUACCAAGGUGCGCGAGAUAACUCUCUCUAAGGAACUCGGCAAAAUAACCUCGUAACUUCGGAAGAAGAGGUGUCAUGGUAGGGUGUAGGUCCAAGCGGCCGAAGCCUGAGAUGAUCGCAGCGACGAGGCUCAAGCGACUGUUUAACAAAAACACAGGUCUCUGCUAAACCGUAAGGUGAUGUAUAGGGGCUGACUCCUGCCCAGUGCUGGAAGGUUAAGUGGAUCGGUUAGCGUAAGCGAAGCUGAAAAACAAAGCCCCAGUGAACGGCGGCCGUAACUAUAACGGUCCUAAGGUAGCGAAAUUCCUUGUCGGGUAAGUUCCGACCCGCACGAAUGGAGUAACGAUUUGAGCGCUGUCUCGGAGAGAGACUCGGCGAAAUAGGAUUGUCUGUGAAGAUACGGACUAGGCGUGCCAGGACAGAAAGACCCUAUUGAGCUUUACUGUAGGCUGAAAUUGUCUGCGGGCUAUAUCUGCGCAGAAUAGGUGGGAGACUUUGAAGUCAGAAUUUUGGUUCUGAUGGAGUCAUCGUUGAGAUACCACUCUGAUGUAGCUAGCAUACUAACCUCGUUCCAUGAAUCUGGGCGGGGAACAGUUUCAGUUGGGCAGUUUGACUGGGGCGGUCGCCUCCUAAACAGUAACGGAGGCGCCCAAUGGUUCCCUCAGGGUGGUCGGAAAUCACCCAUCGAGCGGAAAGGUAGAAGGGAGCUUGACUGCAAGAGUGACAACUCGCGCAGGGACGAAAGUCGGGCUUAGUGAUCCCACGACUCCGCAUGGAAGGGUCGUUGCUCAUCGGACAAAAGUUACCAUAGGGAUAACAGGCUGAUCUCCCCCAAGAGUCCACAUCGACGGGGAGGUUUGGCACCUCGAUGUCGGCUCAUCGCAUCCUGGAGCGGUAGUACGUUCCAAGGGUUGGGCUGUUCGCCCAUUAAAGCGGUACGUGAGCUGGGUUCAGAACGUCGUGAGACAGUUCGGUCCAUAUCCGGCAUGCCCGCAGGAUUUUUGAGAGGAGCCGUCCUUAGUACGAGAGGACCGGGACGGACAGACCGCCAGUAUACGAGUUAUCACGCCAGUGGUAGACGCUCGGUAGCUGUGUCUGGAGUGGAUAAGUGCUGAAAGCAUAUAAGUACGAAGCCCACCUCAAGAUGAGAAAUCCCAUGGAGUUAAUCCAGUAAGGUCCCCGGAAGACCACCGGGUUGAUAGGACAUAGGUGGAAGCGCCCCGCAAGGCAAGCGUGUAGCCGAGUGUUACUAAUAGACCGAGGGCUUAUCCAA